GUCACACUGCCGAGAAAAGCUUCUAGUGAGUACUUAACUACCCGUACCGCAAACCGACACAGGUAGUCGAGGAGAGAAUCCUAAGGUGAGCGAGUGAACUCUCGUUAAGGAACUCGGCAAAAUGACCCCGUAACUUCGGGAGAAGGGGUGCUGAUCGCAAGAUCAGCCGCAGUGAAUAGGCCCAGGCGACUGUUUAUCAAAAACACAGGUCUCUGCAAAAUCGUAAGAUGACGUA
rnacentral:rRNA from 1 species